AGGAUAUAUGAUAUGUAAACUGUAUACCCUUAACAAGGAAAAUUUGACUAUCCCUCAAAUCAAGAAGGUUUUUUUAACUUUGGUACUUGCAGUAACUGCAAAGAAGAGAAGCCAGAAGAAAUAAGAGUAAUGGAUAGGGGGCAGCUGAGUAGCUCAGUGGAUUGAGAGCCAGGCCUAGAGAUGGGAGGUCCUAGGUUCAAAUCUGGCCUCAAGACACUUCCCAGCUGUGUGACCCUGGGCAAGUCACUUGACCCCCAUUGCCUAGCCCUUACCACUCUUCUGCCUUGAAGCCAAUACGCUGUAUUGACUCCAAGAUGGAAGGUAAGGGUUUAAAAAAAAAAAGAGUAAUGGAUAAGGAAAUAAUAGGUGUGAAUUCUACUGUGAAACAGAUACAACAAAUGGAAAAUCAAAAUAAUGUUGAUGGAAUUUAACCAGGUAUGUAGCAAUGUUUUGAGGUAAAUGAAAACUAAACUGGAGAUUUUAUUCUGCUUUAAACAAAGGAUGGAAAGGAGUCAAGGUAAAUACUUUGGACUUCAGUUUGUUUAAAUAAUUGCUAAGGGACUUAAUCAAAGUUAUUUGGAAGUGUGGAGUUCAAACUAAACUCCACUGAGAGUAAAUUAUUAUGAAGGGUUGGAUACAUUCAAAAUUUUAAAUUGUAGCAAGCCCACUUAUUAAAGGUGGAUAAGAGACAAGGUUGUUAAGUAAUAAAAGCCUAAAUCAAGCCAAGCAACCUUAGGAUAAAUUGCUUACAAGCUAUUAACCCCUUUCUCACACCCAGGAAAGAGAAAGAAGUGCUUAUAUUGUUUCACAUUGAUACUUGGGGACUGAAAUAACAAAACAGUAAAUGCUAUGACCUCAAAGAGUUGACAACUACUGUGUGGUAGAACUUAAAAGUGAGUAUAUUUUCAUUAUAUACUUCAGAAGUUUUAAGGAAAUGUUCAAUUGAGUAAAAGUUGCCAGCUGUGUCCCAUGGAACAGCUUGCUUGUUUGCAGCUAUAAAAUCUUAAUGCAAACAUUCUAGGUCCAAAAUGAUAUGUAAUUACAUAUGUAAUAUGUAAUUGAUGAGUUACCUCACACAAGCUUUGGGAAUAUAACUUGGGAGACCCCCAGAUGUUAGCUGAUGUUUUGAUUAAAUAUUGACCUGUAGAGUAACCAAAGAACAAGCAGGCUUUUGAAAAUACAUAUGUGUGACAAACGCUUGCUCAUAAUUUUAUGACUGUUAUGUGAAUUGCUGCUAAUAUGACCUAAAAUUUAUAACUGAUGAACACUGCUAAAGAUGCAGUAUUUCAAUGAUGUAAUCCUUUAAAUCAGGAUUCUUUGGAGUUUUUGAUUAGUACGUGCAGGGAUAGCAAAUGGAAUGUUUAUUUUUAUGAUGAUAAAAGCAACUCAGAGAAGGUGAAGAGGUAUGUCGUGUUUGAAUUUGGAAGAAAGAAGGACUUUGCUCUGUAGUCCAUAAAGCUUGAAAUGAAGAUUUUUUAAAAAAGAGGGGGAGGUAAAAGAGAAGAGAUAGAUGUUCUGCUUUUAUAACUGGAUCCCUGACCUAGGGAUAAUUUCUAAAAUGAAUGUAUAUGGUGUUGGUAAAUCACAAAUGAUUCUGGAAUUUCUCUGGAAAGUUACCCUGAAGAGAUUCCUGUAUGGCCUUGUCUUAGUCCUUCAGAUGGCCUAGGUCCAGGACAUGAUCCAUCCCUGGUUUAUAUUUAAUGUGGCAUUACUCAAUUCAGUACUCCUGUUCCUUAUUGUCAAAAUAUGUAAAAAUAACUGAGUGACUAACCUUUGUUUGAGGGUAUGAAAAUUUUUUUCUGGACUGCUGAUAAGCAGAAUUUCUCUGUGUUGUAAUGAAUAAGACUUGUCUUUUAAGGAAAAAGAAGGCUUCUGGGAUCCAAUGAUGAUGAAGUACACAAAGGACAACAAUGUCCUGUGAUGGUUACAGAGGCAAUCCAGGGCUCAACUUGGACUGAACCUUUUCUGACAAUCUAGACUUUUAAUCCUUGAAUGACACAAUGAGUCAGUGACAUCUUUGGCCUGUACAUGAAGCCCCUCGCUAUGUGUCCUUUGGGAUGUGAGGAAAUGUUUUCCCUGUCUGCCUUCUCUUUUAUGACAAAUUCCCAUAAUCGGCACAUAAUGCAAAUUGUAGAAAUAAAAGUUUCCAUUUCCCCAAACAAUCUAUUAGGUUAAUAAUUGAAAAUUAUCAAAUUGUUAGGGAACAUACUUUGAGAGUUAUUAAUAAAUGGCUUGUAUUUGUAGCCUUGAUUUAACAUGAUUAAAGUUUGGAUAUUGAGCUUGGAAAAAAAAUAACCCCAAACUUUCUAGAUUUCCUUUAGGAUCUAGGGUAAAGAAAUUCAUCUUUGAAAUAUAGUUACUCAGGUCAUUAUAGCUGCUGUGUAAAUGUGAGCUUUACAUAAGAAUUUUCUUUAACAGAAACAUCACACCUCAAUUCUGCAAACAAUUUAGGAAUCAAAUUUCCUAAAAGGAUCAAUUCCUGUCAGAGGAUGAUAUCUAGAGAUGAAGUCUGUUGGCUAAGAUACCCAAAUGUUAAUGUUUAAUAUCAAUUUCUAUUGCACUAAUUCACUCUGUUUAUAUCUGUGGCUCUAGAUUUUACCCCAGUCCUGGUUUCUACACAUCUGUCUUAGGGACUGACUCUCCCCUUUAUGAGUUGUCUGCUGGUCAAGGGUACCAGUCACUGGACACAUCCUUCAGGUCUCCAAGCCUUCAGGACCUAAGCACUUGCUGCGGACACAGCCCUGAAGACCCCAUGUUCACAACAUCUCCCUUCUACUCCCAGGGAUUCUAUGCCCCUUAUCAGCUAUGAAGAAGCUACAGAAGACUGAAACCAUCAGCCCUGUUUCCUUAGAUAUCUGGAGGGGGGGAGGCAUGGGACAUUGUACCCCCAUAGUGUAGAAGUUUUUCAGGCAAACUAUAGGCAGGGAAAUUAUUUUGCUCCCACUAUAUACCCUUACCUGACACUGAGUCAAAGGUUUGACUCCAUUACUACUAGAGGGGGAAUUGAGAUGAGACAAUGAAGCCUCCUGGGAAUGGGUAGGAAGGAUCCUGCAGGUUCUUUUAGGUACUGGUCAGUGGCAUACAUGGGGGAAUUGAUGUUGUUUAGAGUUCAUUUAUAUGCUUGUCUAUCAGCAGGGCUGAAUCUCUGCAAGGUGCCUGGUGAGGUUCACUGUACAGCCUGGGAGUGGGAGACCCCUGCCCUGUGGAGCCAGAUAAACCUCAAGGUCACGUUGCAGAGAAAGUUGGGUCCAGGGGCUUCCCUCAUAGACCUCUCAGUGGCUCAUUAGGUCCAGGGAAUAAUAUAUAGGAAACCAGAACACCCUGAUAAAACCUGUUUUGCAGGACAAACUGCUGGGUCCCUAAGGGGGCUACAUUGCCAACUCAGCUACUACUUCACCUCUGAACCCUCCACUUCACUGUUCUCAUGAUCUCCCACUGAUCCCCAGAGGUCUGAUAUUGGCCCCUGCUUAAUAAAUUGCCUUAUGUCCUAUGUCCAACAGCAUCUAAAGGCAGUCAAACUUUUGACCUUCCAGUUUUACUACCCUUCCAUGCCCACCAAAGAUGAGUCAAGGGUUUGACUCACACACACAAGAAAAGGAGGAAUUGAAGUGAGGUAAACUAAGUCAUUGACCAGAAAACCUGCUUUUCCCUGGGGAAAGUAGAAAUCAGAAAUGAGCUUUCCUGGGAAAGUUAGUCAGCUCAGAACCAAAACAACAUAACAGCCAGGAUCCAUGAGAAAGUAACUCCCUUACUAACAAGCAGCCAGUCUAGGAUAAGAUAUGUAAUGGAAUGUCCUGUACUCCCAUGCUACUGAUGCAUAUAGCUUCUAGAUGAUAAGGUUUGCUUGCUCCAGCAAGGCUAUGUCUCAUUAAUGAACAUUGUUUGCUUAUAUCCUGUAAAAACUGCAUUAUAAUUUCAGUCCAGUGCAUUCAUUAGGAAGGUUUACCCUGGCCAGUAAUAAAUAAAUAUUGGUUCCAUGAAUUUGAACUUCUGGGUGUCCAGACUCGCAUUAUGAAGUGCACCACUUUAAGAGCCUACAAGAAAGCCCUGGAGUAUGACCAUGAAAAGUAUUCAAGAUAUGGAAGAUACAGGAAAGAGGAAAGCCAGAUACAGUUCAAGCUAAAGAAUUCCCCCAAAAGUAGAUCAUGGCCAGAUAUGAAGAGGAAAUAGAUCUCAUUUUUGAAACUGAAUUGUUUGGAGAAGACACCAUGAAGAUGCCUCCAGUUCACAAGCUGCAUGAGAAGAUCAAGAAUGAACUUUGGGGGCUGAGAGCAGCAGAAAUCAACUCAAUUGCAGGCAUGGCCAUGCCUUAGGACCAGGCCCUCCUGAUUGCACUGAACCUAAAUAAAUACCCUCCUGAGCAAAUCUAAUGCUGAAACCCAUUCACCAAAUCCUAAGGGAAUAUGCGGAUGAGAUCCUCCCAUAUCCUUCAAAGGAAGAUGGAGAGGAAAUCACACACCCAGCCCAAAUGGAGGGAUCCAACCAGCUAACAUCUUGAUGGGUGGGUCCCCAUCAAGCCAUCCAUCCACCCUCACCACUGUAAAACUGGAAAGGCAAAAUACAUGGAUUCACGUCUCUUGCAGUAAGCCCUUUAUCCCCCAGAAACAGGUGGCAGAAGAGGAGGUUGAGACACCUAUUCCUGUGAGUGGGUAGAAGACCUCAAGUUUCUCUUUUGCAGUAGCAAAAAAAAAAAGUUGCUGAAGGGGUUUUGAAUUAUAAGCGUCCAGCUACUUGGACAGAUAAUUCCCUAAUUCAAGUGGGGGGAUCAGUAGUUUAAGCAAGUCCCUCAGACUACUGGGAAUGCAAGAAAUAUAGGUGAAGCAAAGGAAAUCCCUGGCCACUAGCUCAUGGUCUCAGUGCCUCAGAGGUCUACCAAACAUCUGAGGCUUCCUGGAAAUUCUCAUCUCCUCUGGUUCUGGUGGGCAGCCUUUCGCUUUUACUGAAUAUCCAUAGACUCAGCACACUGGGAUGAUGCUCAUUCAGAAUGGAUGGGUUAGUCAAAACCCCUUCAGGUAGAAGUGCUUUGAUAAAGGUUGGGUCAUUGACCCUUUUCUUUUUCAUAUGACUCAUGCACUGUGUAUUGCACUGGAAAUCCUGACACCUACAGGAAGAGAAUGAAAAUAUAUUUCUCUUAUUGUACAUCCUCAUGUCCAAAUGUAACAUCAGUGGUCAUGCCUCUGCCUGCAGGCAGGGGGCAGGGCACACAGUUAGGGGUGUGGCAUGGCAUGAAGUGGGGGAUGGGCACUGGCAUAAAGUCUGUGGGUGUGGGUGGGGCAUGGCACAGGGUCCCUAAAAGGUUUCAAAAGGUUCCCCACCAAUGGUCUAAGGGAACCCUUCUCAGAAUCAUGUUUUUAAAGAUGUAAAACAAAAGACAAUAUAGAAUUACCAAGGAUGCUGAAAUGGCAACAGAUUAUAUUUUCAAAAGUUCACAUUUCCUAGUUUAAAAAACCUUUCUUAGACUUUUACUGUCUAGCCUAUUGUCCAAGUUGAGGGUGGGGAAAAUUUUAGACAUCAGAUACAUCAAAAGCAAGUUUUUAAGUUUCAUGGAUGUUUUAAAUUAUUAUUUUUUAAGAGUAGAUAACAGAUAGUAUAGAGGAUGUCACUGAAGAUGAUUAAACUGAAGGGUACCAUUAAUACUAGCAUUUAAUGUACUUAAUUCCUAUGGAAACUAGGAUUUCCAGGGGAAGAGAGGACAGGAAGAAUUGAAGGAUACUAGGGCACUUAAAAUAAUAAUAAUUAACAUUUAUAUAGCAUUUAAAGGCAUCUAUAUGGCAAAAUAGAUAGAGCAUUAUGCUUGGAGUCAGGAAGACCUAAAUUCAAAGUUCUCUCCAGACACUUUGGGGCCCUGGGAAAGUCAUUUAACCCAGUUUCCCUCAGUUUCCCUAUCUGGAAAGUGAAUUGGAGAAGGAAAUAGAAAAUCAUUCCAGUAUCUUUGCCAAGAAAACCUCAAAUGGGUUCCCAAAGAGUUGGACAAUAAUGAAAUAACUCAACAACAUACAGAAUUUACAAUGUUAUAGGCACUGUGCUAAGCAUUCUGUAAUUAUUACCUCAUUUUAUUCUUACAACCACCAUGGGACAUAGAUGUUAUUAUUGUUCCCAUUUUGCAGAUGAAGAAACUGAGAUAAUCAGAGGUUCAUUGACUUGCCUGGGGUGACAUAGCUACUGAGUGUCUGAGGCUGGAUUUGACCUCAGGUUUUCCUGAUCCAAAGCCCCUAGUCUCUAUCUAUUAUGCCUCCUGGCUGCACUUGAACUUUUCCUUAGGAAAGACAUCAGCCAAAAAUGAUGUUGUUUGAAGGGCCUGGGAAUGUUUAACCCAGGGAACAGAAAAUUUAAAGAGAAGAGAAUAUUAAUCACUGCUGUCAAUAUCAGAAGGGCUGUUAAAGUAUAGAAGAUGUUCUGUGUUCUGCUUGGCUUCAAAGGCCAGAAAGAGAAGCAAUGAGUAAAAUUGACCAAGAAGCUGAUUGUGGAUCCAAAUGAGAAACUUCUGAUUAAAAAUAUAUGGCCAUCAGUGAAAUAGAUGAUGUUCUAAGCUCCCUUCCAAACUUAACAUUCUUUAUGUAAUAUUCCUUUCUGCUUUAAUGUUCUAUCUUGUCCUUGUUCUGCUGAUGACUUUCUAGAGGUUUGGUUUAUUUUGUAAUCCCUUAAGGCUCUAGAUUUUUUUAAAAAAUAAAAGUGAUACACAUUGAUUUAUCUUUUCACUUCUCUUCCAGUAAAAGAGACAUUUCCAUCCUCAUCAAAAAAGAAGGGCAAUGCUGAGGAACCAAAAUAUUCUGGAGCCCCCAAUAGAGUGGUACCAUGGCUAGCCAGCUUGAGUUUUUUAUUAAUGUAUGAGAAUGAUUGCUGCUCUUUAGUGACUUUUUAUGAAAAAUAUGUUAGAGAAAGAAGAUCUUCGUUGAUAGAGUACUGACCUCUGGAUCAGUUCAAGUCCUGCCACUGACCCCAACUGCUCAUGUGACAUCAUUUGUCAGUCCUCUGGGAAACUCUCUAAGAAUAUAAUUUGCAGAGACAGGGUGUUGUAACUUGCCCAGAGUCAUACACUCAAUUAUUGACACUCAAGAUGAGAAUACAUCUGCCUAUCCAUUACUCUUUACAUUGUAUCAUAGUAUCUUUCCCUAAAAACAGACAAACUAACAAGACACUAUUUUCUGUUUUAUUAACAACUCUUAAGACUGAAGGGCAAGAGAUGGGCAAACAGAGUUAAAUGACUUGCUCAGCUGGGAAGUAUUUGAGACCAGAUUUAAACACAGACAUCACAAUUUCAGACCUGGCACUCUAUCCUGCAUUUUCUUUCUUUUUUAAAAAACACUUCUCUUUCAUCUUAGAACUGAUUCUAUGUAUUGUUUCUAAGGCAGAAGAGCAGUAAGGGCUUGGCAAUGGGGGUUAAGUGACUUACCCAGGGUCACACAGCUAGGAAGUAUCUGUGGCAAGAUUAAAACCCAAGACCUUCUAUCUCUAGGGCUUGUUCUUUAUCCACUAAGCCAUCUAGCUGCUCCAGCUGCCUUUUGUUUCAAAGUAAUGACUUACAGGAAUGUGAGUUCAAAAUUAAAAAAUCCUAAAACACUAAAAUGAUAGAAAAUAUGCAAUUUUACUUCCCUCAAUCCAAUGAAAGCCGACUUUCAUGAUAAAAAGAAAUAUUCAUUAGAUGAAAUCCAGCAUAGAAAGGACAAAACAUCAUUGAAAGCCUGCAGUUAGGGAUAAAUGAAGGGGAAAAAAGUAAAAACAACAGAUGAAAUAUUCUCAUUGAUGAAGAAAAGUGACCAGAAAGCCAGAAAAUAAAAGACAAAGAGUUCAGGAAACUAAACCCAAAUAUGUCAUGGAAGUAUACUCUAAUCCCAAAUGAAGACUUCAUUGGAUUCUCUGAGCAUCCUCCGCCUCCCCCCUAACUCCCCUAGCUCAUGCCCUCAGCAACUUGCCUAACUCAAGUUAAUUUAGUAUAAAA